AUCAGUCAUAUAGUAGAAUACUAAAGCAACAUAUAGCAAUAACAUUAACUAGUAAAUUGCUUAUUAAUCUAUAUUUAUAAGUGAAAAGGUGAGUUUAUAUUAGUAUAUCUAUUUUUGGUGUCCCCCUUGGAUUACUAAAAUACCCUUCACGCUUAUAGAAUAGAAAAUAUAAUGACAACAUACUCAAUAGGAAAAGAACAAAGAUCAAAGUGGAUUGUAACUUAGAAAUUUCUUCUUUAGCAUUUCGGUUGUCGUUGGUUCUUCGUUGUCUUUCCACGCCGUCGACUACUUCAAAAAUGUAAGGUACACCAAUGGUGGACGAUAGUACAAAAGAGAUCAGGUGGUCAAGUAGGUAGAUGUAUUUUGUGGGAAUAAAGAGGAGCAAUGGUGAUGGCGACGCAGUGCGAUGAGGCCAUGGCGAGAGUAGAAGGGGGUGAAUGGAAGAUCUGCUGUUGUGGAAGCCUAACUAGGCCAUGAUUUGCUGCCUGCAGCUGGCACUAAACGGGCAUUCAAAAAAGAGAUGAGCAGCUGUUUCAGAAAUUGCAAUCGCAAGGAAAUUAUUUGAUGAAUGGUCGAUAAAUUAAUGUCUAAUGGAAGCUACAAAUCUCUCAACGGUAGAUGAUAUUAUCGACUCCCGACUCUCGACGACAGAUUCAACAUUGUGCUUGUAGUUUUUGGCAUCUGAUUUUGUAAUGUUGUAAUUUGGUACAAGGGUUAAUUUGUGAGGGUUUGUGAUGUGAUUGUGAAGUAUGAUUGUAUUAGGUGAUUUGAAUGUACUUCCUCCGUUUCUGAAAGUUCUUUACGCUUUGAAA